GACGAACGCUGGCGGCGUGCUUAACACAUGCAAGUCGAACGGAAAGGCCCUGCUUUUGUGGGGUGCUCGAGUGGCGAACGGGUGAGUAACACGUGAGUAACCUGCCCUUGACUUUGGGAUAACUUCAGGAAACUGGGGCUAAUACCGGAUAGGAGCUCCUGCUGCAUGGUGGGGGUUGGAAAGUUUCGGCGGUUGGGGAUGGACUCGCGGCUUAUCAGCUUGUUGGUGGGGUAGUGGCUUACCAAGGCUUUGACGGGUAGCCGGCCUGAGAGGGUGACCGGCCACAUUGGGACUGAGAUACGGCCCAGACUCCUACGGGAGGCAGCAGUGGGGAAUAUUGCACAAUGGGCGGAAGCCUGAUGCAGCAACGCCGCGUGCGGGAUGACGGCCUUCGGGUUGUAAACCGCUUUCGCCUGUGACGAAGCGUGAGUGACGGUAAUGGGUAAAGAAGCACCGGCUAACUACGUGCCAGCAGCCGCGGUGAUACGUAGGGUGCGAGCGUUGUCCGGAUUUAUUGGGCGUAAAGGGCUCGUAGGUGGUUGAUCGCGUCGGAAGUGUAAUCUUGGGGCUUAACCCUGAGCGUGCUUUCGAUACGGGUUGACUUGAGGAAGGUAGGGGAGAAAUGGAAUUCCUGGUGGAGCGGUGGAAUGCGCAGAUAUCAGGAGGAACACCAGUGGCGAAGGCGGUUCUCUGGGCCUUUCCUGACGCUGAGGAGCGAAAGCGUGGGGAGCGAACAGGCUUAGAUACCCUGGUAGUCCACGCUGUAAACGGUGGGUACUAGGUGUGGGGUCCAUUCCACGGGUUCCGUGCCGUAGCUAACGCUUUAAGUACCCCGCCUGGGGAGUACGGCCGCAAGGCUAAAACUCAAAGGAAUUGACGGGGCCCCGCACAAGCGGCGGAGCAUGCGGGUUAAUUCGAUGCAACGCGUAGAACCUUACCUGGGUUUGACAUGGAUCGGGAGCGCUCAGAGAUGGGUGUGCCUCUUUUGGGGUCGGUUCACAGGUGGUGCAUGGCUGUCGUCAGCUCGUGUCGUGAGAUGUUGGGUUAAGUCCCGCAACGAGCGCAACCCUUGUUCACUGUUGCCAGCACGUUAUGGUGGGGACUCAGUGGAGACCGCCGGGGUCAACUCGGAGGAAGGUGGGGAUGACGUCAAGUCAUCAUGCCCCUUAUGUCCAGGGCUUCACGCAUGCUACAAUGGCUGGUACAGAGAGUGGCGAGCCUGUGAGGGUGAGCGAAUCUCGGAAAGCCGGUCUCAGUUCGGAUUGGGGUCUGCAACUCGACCUCAUGAAGUCGGAGUCGCUAGUAAUCGCAGAUCAGCAACGCUGCGGUGAAUACGUUCCCGGG
rnacentral:rRNA from 1 species